rnacentral:snoRNA from 20 species
AACAUCAGUAGUGGUUAAUACUAUCUUUAGAUAAUAUUAAUUUCAUUAUACCAUAGAAACCUAAAGAUUGAAUUAUUUUUGUUCUUCAUGUUAUGGGUACGAAUGAUGAGGGGCUUGCUCUUUUGAAUCCGUAUCACAUAAUAAGUUAAUACUGGAACGAGAAUAAUUUAAAUCAUUUCAUCAUAACCCAUAGCUGAAUGAAUUUUGACUACUCCUAAACAAAGUAGCUACAUUUUUCAUUUCGUUUCCGGUUUCUUAGAUCAAAUAUUAUUCUGAAGGAGUUCUCUAAUCAAAAGUUAGGGAAAGGUUCGCGUUUUUAGAGGAUUGUGUAAAGCAAUUUGUGAGUUUAAAAUCUUAGGCGACUCUUCUUCAUGAUAAGACAGUU